CUGCCCGACGAAACAUCCUGGAUGAAGAAAGAUCAUAGCAAAGACCGAAAAAAUUAAAAAACAAAGAAAGAAAGAAACCACAAUCAUAACCAUUCAGUAUUUUCUUAACGACAUAUUCAAGAUUGCUUUGCAAAAAACUAUAAUUUAUAAAAUAUAUAUUUCUUGUGGAAACUAGAACAAGUGGAAGCCUUGCUGUAACU
rnacentral:lncRNA from 1 species